UUCUGGUUGAUCCUGCCGGACCUGACUGCUAUCGGAUUGGUACUAAGCCAUGCGAGUCGUUGUAGCAAUACAAGGCGGACGGCUCAGUAACACGUAGUCAACCUACCCUAUGGACGUGGAUAACCUCGGGAAACUGAGAAUAAUACACGAUAGACCAUAAUGCCUGGAACGGCUUAUGAUUGAAAUGAUUUAUCGCUGUAGGAUGGGACUGCGGCCUAUCAGCUUGUUGGUGGGGUAAUGGCCCACCAAGGCUAUAACAGGUACGGGCUCUGAGAGGAGAAGCCCGGAGAUGGGUACUGAGACACGGACCCAGGCCCUAUGGGGCGCAGCAGGCGAGAAACCUUAGCAAUGUGCGAAAGCACGACUAGGUUAAUCCGAGUGAUUUCUGCUGAAGAAAUCUUUUGUCAGUUCUAAAAAUACCGAUGAAUAAGGGGUGGGCAAGUCUGGUGUCAGCCGCCGCGGUAAUACCAGCACCUCGAGUGGUCAGGAUGUUUAUUGGGCCUAAAGCAUCCGUAGCCGGCUUUGCAAGUCUCCGGUUAAAUCCAGCUGCCUAACAGAUGGGCUGCCGGAGAUACUACAAAGCUAGGGAGCGGGAGAGGCAGACGGUAUUCGGUGGGUAGGGGUAAAAUCCUCUGAUCCACUUGAGGACCACCAGUGGCGAAGGCGGUCUGCCAGAACGCGUUCGA
rnacentral:rRNA from 1 species